rnacentral:rRNA from 1 species
GAUGAACGCUGGCGGCGUGCCUAAUACAUGCAAGUCGAGCGAACAGACGAGGAGCUUGCUCCUCUGACGUUAGCGGCGGACGGGUGAGUAACACGUGGAUAACCUACCUAUAAGACUGGGAUAACUUCGGGAAACCGGAGCUAAUACCGGAUAAUAUAUUGAACCGCAUGGUUCAAUAGUGAAAGACGGUUUUGCUGUCACUUAUAGAUGGAUCCGCGCCGCAUUAGCUAGUUGGUAAGGUAACGGCUUACCAAGGCGACGAUGCGUAGCCGACCUGAGAGGGUGAUCGGCCACACUGGAGCUGAGACACGGUCCAGACUCCUACGGGAGGCAGCAGUAGGGAAUCUGCCGCAAUGGGCGAAAGCCUGGCGGAGCAAGGCCGCGUGAGUGAUGAAGACCUUCCGAUCGUAAAACUCUGUUAUUAGGGAAGAACAAAUGUGUAAGUAAAUAUGCACGUCUUGACGGUACCUAAUCAGAAAGCCACGGCUAACUACGUG